GAAUUUAUACUUUUUCCUAAUUAUUUUGAUUUAGUCUGCCUGCAAGGCUCCGUUUUCUUUCAACGAAACAAUAACACUGGAGAUGAAGUUCAAGCCGCCGAUAAUGUUCGCUGGAUGCUGCAGUUGAUAGUGAUCUCAAAUAUUGAAGAACUGUUCAAAACUUAAUGGUUUUCAGUGCGAGGAUGGAAAAUACUACAAUAGUAUUGCUAGGGAUGAAUGACCACAGCCCAACCCAUUGAAACCCAGGCAGCAAAGGGGCAGGUACCCAUAGGGAGGGGGAAUAGGGUGGCCAGGUGGGGCAUGACUCAAGCUUAGGUUAAAGUGAGGCCACAUGAAAGGAUACAUCACAGGUGGCGGCAACACGCCCCGGGAACUCGACACCGCCGUUGGCGUGUCCGCUUUCCCAUCUCCAAGACGCACUCGAGGAAGGCCGACAUCUGCAUUGCAACUCUGAAGUGACGAGGUGGUCCUCGAAGGCAUUUCGAGUCCCUCGCGGGGGGCGCUGAAACGGGGUCGGCCGCAGAAAUACCAAGCAAGGGAAGUUCCACGCGCAUAAAGGGAAGGCUUGGUCUUUGUUCUGGAUAAGGCGGUCCCUCUGGAAUGAGGAGGUGCUGGUUGUGAGCUUAGAGAGAGAGAGAGAGAGAGAGAGAGAGAGAGAGAGAGAUGGGGACGACGCAUCGCAGGGCCGUGCCCAGACUCCCCUGGACACUUACUCAUCACCUAUGGAAUAAGAUCUCGCGAGCGCUCCGCGACCCCUGUCCGUACUGGUCCCUCUGGACUCUUUCCCUGCCCUUGCUGGCGCCCUGACGAUAUGACUAAGACAUAACCUUAAGAAGCAACUUGAUACGUAGUGAUAAUAAUUGUAACAGAAUUUAGUUAACUCAGGGCCUUAUAAAGACACAAAUCCUUAUGAGAAUGGUCUUCUUAAGUAAAUAUGGUUGUACGUAUGCUUUAAGCCAACUACUAGAGGCUUGAACAAAAUUAUUACAUAUGCUCACCUUUACAAAAAUCAGUUUUUUUGGUUAAUUUCAACAAGUGCUCGUUGUGAAAUUAAUGUGCGUUUUAUAUAAAUAACACUUCUGUUCUCGUGAUUCGUUCACCUUUAUAAAAAAAAUAAAAUAAAAAAGCUGCCAAUAAUAUGUAUAAUUAUGAAAUUGCAAAAUUCUUUGUUGCUUAAUACCUGCAGGCGUACGCACCUCAAAAUACACAUGCAAGCACAUAAAGCUCAAGAUACAAAUAAGAAGAAACUGCUGCUUAAAUAACAAGCAAAAUGAGGUCCGGAAUGAAGUGAAAGCACGAGAUAAAAUCGAUGAAAGGGGACGAAUGAAUCUCACGCACUCUAAAUAUUCGAUACCAAUUAUCUCCCGGACAUUCCCGAAUACCGAAAGACAUCGGACACAUCUGAGAUAGGAGGCGAUGCGAUGGUUCCUCAAACAACAUGACAAAUUAAGGUGUGACCCGAAAGCAAGUUUUAUCCCGGAAUCUAUACGUAAAUGUUAUGGAUACCUCUGGAUUUAUACUUUUUGGAGAAGUCAGCCACUCAUAACAUUUUAUGAAGUUAAAAGAGUAGGUUUUAAGAUUUAGCUGUAUAUAAUUAUUAGCAUAUGAGAGCUAUACUACAUUUACAUUUUUAUGUUAGAUAAGUAAGCUGUAAAUCUGACUGAAACCGGUAAAUAAACAUAUAUGUAGUUA